rnacentral:lncRNA from 1 species
UUCUUUCUCGUUGGGGUAAUUUCAAAGGUCAGGAGUUAAGGAAAUAAAAAGUUAGAAUCUAAAGGGUUUAGCUAUUAUGUAUAGUUUAUGAGUUGAAGUAAAAGUGAGGUUUAGUGGAUGUAGUGGUUAUGGUUAUGUUUAAUGUUGAGUUAAUAUUAUGGCCUAUAAAUAGGCAGCGUAUCCACUGUAUGUAAGGUGUGUGUCAAGAGUGUAUCAAGUGUGUAUCAAGAGUAUCAAUCUUAUCGAAGUUUGUUUCAAGUAAGUUUGUGUAGGAG